UUUUGAGACAUAGUCCUUAUUUUUUUCGAUGUGCUCCAAAGUACAGAUGCAGAGCUGCUAUUUGGCAAGCAAUCACAAUUGUUGCGUGAAGCACCACCUGCUUGGUUUCAUUCACUCCUUCCUGCCCAGUCAAGCAAGAACAGGGGAGAAGGAGGCAGCUGAUGUUUAGCAGACAAGAGCCUUCCCUUGAAAACCCCGGGACCCAUCCUGGCCUUGUUUGAAGAAACCUAGGAAAAGGUUCUUAUUAGCCUUCACCUAUUCUGCACCAAGAGAGCCCCAGGCUCCGGAAUUCUUCUGCUAUGGAAAAAUCAAGAUCUUUGUUCCAGGAAAUAAUUGGCUACAAGAUGCUCUUUGUCUUCUUCCUACUUUUUAACACAGAUAUUCUUGUAGAUGGACAAACUGCAAUCCAGCCUGUUAGCACAGAAAUUGUGAUCGCCAGCACAGAAAUGUCAAGCCAUUUUUAUGAAAGCUCCCCAACUUUGGUAUUUCCGAAUCCUACCGUUUUUUCAAAUGUUUCCACAGUAUCUGUUAAAUCACCUCCUGAAGCCACCACAUCUAGCACUCCUA